rnacentral:rRNA from 1 species
GAUGAACGCUAGCUACAGGCUUAACACAUGCAAGUCGAGGGGUAGCAGGGUAGCAAUACCUCUGACGACCGGCGCACGGGUGAGUAACACGUAUCCAACCUUCCCAUAACUCGGGGAUAGCCUUUCGAAAGAAAGAUUAAUACCGGCUGGUACUUUUUCAAGGCAUCUUGAGAAAGUUAAAGAUUUAUUGGUUAUGGAUGGGGAUGCGUUCCAUUAGAUAGUUGGUGAGGUAACGGCUCACCAAGUCUUCGAUGGAUAGGGGUUCUGAGAGGAAGGUCCCCCACAUUGGUACUGAGACGCGGAGCGAACUCCUACGGGAGGCAGCAGUGAGGAAGAUUGGUCAAUGGGCGAGAGCCUGAACCAGCCAAGUAGCGUUAAGGAUGAAGGUCCUAUGGAUUGUAAACUUCUUUUAUAGUAGAAUAAAGUGAUCCACGUGUGGAUUUUUGUAUGUAUACUAUGAAUAAGGAUCGGCUAACUCCGUGCCAGCCGCCGCCGUAAUAC